CAGUAGCCGCGGUAAUACAGAGGGUGCAAGCGUUAAUCGGAAUUACUGGGCGUAAAGCGCGCGUAGGUGGUUUGUUAAGUUGGAUGUGAAAGCCCCGGGCUCAACCUGGGAACUGCAUCCAAAACUGGCAAGCUAGAGUACGGUAGAGGGUGGUGGAAUUUCCUGUGUAGCGGUGAAAUGCGUAGAUAUAGGAAGGAACACCAGUGGCGAAGGCGACCACCUGGACUGAUACUGACACUGAGGUGCGAAAGCGUGGGGAGCAAACAGGAUUAGAUACCCCCGUAGUCCCUGUCUCUAUACA
rnacentral:rRNA from 1 species